UAGAAUGUGGUGUAUAGGUAGCACGAAGAAUUUUGAAUUCUUAGGAUUAGGUUCAAGUCCUAUGGUUCUAG
rnacentral:tRNA from 1 species